GGAACGAACGCUGGCGGCAUGCCUAACACAUGCAAGUCGAACGAGACCUUCGGGUCUAGUGGCGCACGGGUGCGUAACGCGUGGGAAUCUGCCCUUGGGUACGGAAUAACAGUUAGAAAUGACUGCUAAUACCGUAUAAUGACUUCGGUCCAAAGAUUUAUCGCCCAGGGAUGAGCCCGCGUAGGAUUAGCUUGUUGGUGAGGUAAAGGCUCACCAAGGCGACGAUCCUUAGCUGGUCUGAGAGGAUGAUCAGCCACACUGGGACUGAGACACGGCCCAGACUCCUACGGGAGCAGCA
rnacentral:rRNA from 1 species